rnacentral:rRNA from 1 species
AGUGAACGCUGGCGGCAGGCCUAAUACAUGCAAGUCGAACGGCAGCACAGCAGAGCUUGCUCUGUGGGUGGCGAGUGGCGGACGGGUGAGGAAUACGUGGGAAUCUGCCCAGUCGUGGGGGAUAACGUAGGGAAACUUACGCUAAUACCGCAUGCGCCCUUCGGGGGAAAGCCGGGGACCUUCGGGCCUGGCGCGAUUGGAUGAGCCCACGUCGGAUUAGCUAGUUGGCGGGGUAAAGGCCCACCAAGGCGACGAUCCGUAGCUGGUCUGAGAGGAUGAUCAGCCACACUGGAACUGAGACACGGUCCAGACUCCUACGGGAGGCAGCAGUAGGGAAUAUUGGACAAUGGGCGCAAGCCUGAUCCAGCCAUGCCGCGUGAGUGAAGAAGGCCCUCGGGUUGUAAAGCUCUUUGUCCGGAAAGAAAAGCGCCGGGUUAAUACCCUGGUGUCCUGACGGUACCGGAAGAAUAAGCACCGGCUAACUUCGUGCCAGCAGCCGCGGUAAU